rnacentral:lncRNA from 1 species
GGCCAACCUAUAAGCUUCGACCACAAUUGAAAUUAGAUUGGCCAUUAUUGCGAGCAAUUGGCCAAUCGAUUUUAAAUUUGGCCAAAAUUUGAAUAAAUCAGCCAAAUCUCCAAUUACAUAAUCCACCCAAUUAAAUCAAUAUUGUCCCAUUUUGUAAACUACAAACAGCAUCCCACGUUCUUAAUUUAGCUUACUAGCCUUGCCAACCCAACAGUUAAGAUCAGCCCUUUCCCCUUUCAGUUAGGCCGUUAGUCCAAAACUUUCAGAUGACCCAACAAUUUUCAAAUGAUAGCAAACCCAACCCAUUUCCUCAGCAACCUUUUUCUUUAAUUAUAUUGACCUCCCCAGCCCAACAACAACAUCCAAUUCAUAACCAGGCCUAAUUUCAACAUCCCCACCAGCCCAUUUUUCUCUUUAUUCUUAAACAGGCCUUAAUCAACCACCUGUGACCCGAUCCAGCCCAAUUCCUUUUACCCCCUUUAUCUUCUUUCUCUUCAAACCAAGGGAAAACUAAAAAUAGCUGUAAUACUAUGACACCACCACCUUCAUCAACAACACAAGCAACCAACAAUGAUAACAACAACAACAAACCCAGUGUAUUCCCACUUAGUGGGGUCUGGGGGGGUAAGAUGUACGCAGUCCAUACCUCUACCUCUGAUGAAGUAGAAAGGCUGUUUCCGAAAGACCCCCGGCUCAGGCACAAGAUAUCACACAAACACAUAGUAAAGCACAGAAGCAGAUGACAAUAAUAUAAAUAAGGCACCCAUACAGACUAUAAAACAGAGGAAAGCAGAGGAAAGCACACAGAUUCGUAAUAAGCAUGGAACACUGAAUACGGAAUCAUUACAGGAAUAAAAAAUAAAAAACCCCCACCAAGUAAUUCCCUCCACUAAAAACCAACAAUGAUGAAAAACUAAAAUCCAUCAACCCGAUAACCCGACUCCACCAGCCCCAACCAUUUUGUUUGCUCUCUACACACGUAUCACGUGUCAGAAAGAUGAGAAAGGAA